rnacentral:misc_RNA from 1 species
UGUGCUAGAUAGUGGUGGUUUUACAUAUAGACUGAAUAAGGGACUUGAUGUCUCCUACAUAAUUUAUCUUGCUUGAAUAAAACAUUUCGUGUAUUAGUUUUGUAAGGAUCAAACUCGUGUUAGUAAUGUAUUGAUGAACAGUACCAGUAUGUGUCUCGACUCUUGAUUGAAUGAAUAAAAAUCAAACUCGUGUUAGUAAUGUAUUGAUGAACAGUACCAGUAUGUGUCUCGACUCUUGAUUGAAUGAAUAAAA